rnacentral:rRNA from 1 species
AUUGAACGCUGGCGGCAUGCUUUACACAUGCAAGUCGAACGGUAACAGGCCUUCGGGUGCUGACGAGUGGCGAACGGGUGAGUAAUGCAUCGGAACGUGCCCAAUCGUGGGGGAUAACGUAGCGAAAGUUACGCUAAUACCGCAUAAGCCCUGAGGGGGAAAUGGGGGACCGCAAGGCCUCACGCGAAUGGAGCGGCCGAUGUCAGAUUAGCUAGUUGGUGGGGUAAAGCCCACCAAGGCGACGAUCUGUAGCGGGUCUGAGAGGAUGAUCCGCCACACUGGGACUGAGACACGGCCCAGACUCCUACGGGAGGCAGCAGUGGGAAUUUUGGACAAUGGGCGCAAGCCUGAUCCAGCCAUGCCGCGUGCGGGACGAAGGCCUCGG